rnacentral:snRNA from 1 species
AUCGCUUCUCGGCCUUUUGGCUAAGAUCAUGUGUAGUAUCUGUUCUUAUCAGUUCAAAUAAUUAAGUCCUUAUAUUGGUUAGUUAGGGUCUAAAUUAUUCUAUGUUAACAAUCACAAUACAUCAAUGACAAAUGAU